GAAGAAACGAUCUUUGAUUCCGUCCUUAUACAGUCAAUGGGCGGGAUCAGGACGGUUUGGCCCACACCGCUCUCCGUAGAUCUGGGCCUGGGCGUAGUUCGUAUCUUCUGCUCCUGCUGCGUAGGAGUCAAACCCUCACAACACUUCAACAGCACGACUCGUAGGCGUUUCGUUAUAUAACUAGAAUCUAAUAUAAAACCAAAAUCAUGUGUUCUGUUACUUUAGAAAACAAUGGUUCUCCGAAAAAACGGAUGCUGUCCCGGGGAAUGAGUGAAGAUGAGUCACUCCGUAGCAUUAUAAACGAGAGCGAGACUCCAUCCAGGCGGCUGACUCGAAGCGACAGCCGGGGAGGCACCCUGAGGAGGAGGACCGACACCCAGCAGUCGGACCAGGAUCUCCUCAUGGGACUGCCUGAAAUGCUGGAACUGCAGGCCAGCUAUGACGAGGCAGUACAGGAGCUGCGGGGGCUGGAGGUGGAGCGAGAGGCCCUGUUGUUUCAGGUGGAUGUCCUGCAGGACACGCUGGAGGGUGUGGAAGAACUUCUGGCCGAAGCCCAGAGAGAAGCCGGACAGGCCAGCUUGAAGCUGGAACAAGAAAGAGAAGCCAACAGGAAACUGGAGAGGCUGCUUUGUUCUCUGAAGCAGGAGGUGGAGAGAUUAAACGAGGAAAGAAAGAGCCAAACUGCUCCAGUGAACGUAAUCAAACCAUCUGAACAGGAAUGCCAAACAAAUAACAACACGAUGAAUCAAAAUGCAAAGGAUCAUUUGCUGUGUGAAGCCUGCAGCGUCAAAAUCAGGAGUGGAGUUCUGGAAAACUCAGAGGAACUGGGAGAAGAAGUUCCAGGAAGUUGUGGAGCGGCUCAGGUGAAGCUGCAGAGGUUGGCCAGCCAACCCUUCACUCCCUCUCUUGCUCUGGUCAACCUGCACUCGGUGGACGGCGUCCUUCAGCGGCAAAUACGCAGGAACUCGGGCGAUAGAAUCCUUCCUGAACAGAGGUUUAAUGAACUCUGACAGCAUCAGUGCCUAUGAGGACGCGUCUGCUGACACUCCGGAGCACGAGAGGGCGUUAGCUGCCGGCAGCGAGCUGUUCAACGAUUUAGAGGACACAAAGACAAAAGCAACGAACGAAGAUCUGGAUGAAAGCAGCGAAACCGAAGAUCCUAGAAGCCCAGAGAGCUGCAUUUUGUCUUAAUUCCAUCUUCUGUUCACCCAAAACGAGUCAUGACAGUUUGGUGACAUUUGAUCUGUCUUACAGCCAGUUUGUUAUAAUUUUAUAAAACUGUAGUUGUAGAUUUAAUUACCUUUAAAACAAUAUUGCCAAACAUUUCCUUCUUUGGGGGCUCUAAUACCUACAUCUUGAGUGAAAAAAAAAAAAUAUAUUUUCAACGCCAUUUGGUUUUGUAACAAAAUCAUCAACAGAUUAAUUGGACUAUUUUUACAAUCUGUAAAAGAUCCCACUCUAAAGUUUUUACGUUUUGUUGUUUAAAAUUAACUGCCUCCUCUAAUGUCAGCUGCCAAGUAUUCCGUCUAAGCCUGCCUUAAUUUUGUGUGUGGAUAAAUAUCGAGAUGUUUUUCUAUUAUCAGGUGUUUUGGGUUGUCUAACACCUUUCUGUGUGCACAUCAGGAUUUAUAUAUGUCCAAAAUACAGUGAGUUAUGUCCUUACUUUUUUUGUUCUUUUGGAUCCAAAACAAAAAUCUUGUUUGAAAAUCUAGUUUACUUGAAGCAGAUUUUUUCUAUUUUACACUGAUCUUUGCAAGGCAUGAGAAAACACAAUCCCCUAAAGCAAAUAUCUUAUUUUUAUACAGUCCUUUUUGCGUUUUUGCUCUGAAACUAUAACGCAUUUGCACUUUUUUUUAUCGUGUAAACGGUGGCCUAAAUGUUUCUCAUUUGGCCACUACAUUCCUUUUCAGAACCAAACGCUCGAGUUAGCUCAUUUGCUGCGGAGUGAUUCUGUCUGUUUGCACAUUUUUUAGUCAAACUUGCUGAAAUCUUAGUGUUUUUCAAUGUCUGACUGCUGUUAACACUUUAUAACUGAUCACUUUUUAAAAAAAAUGUUUUGAAACAAUUCACCUUAUAUUUGAUCAUUUGCAUGAGUACGUAUAAUGUUUAAGAGACUACAAAAGAGUUAAUCUGCAUCAUGCAUACCAUAUCGAUACUUUUGCACGCAAUAUAUUUAUUGGUUAAGUAAAACCUUAAGUCACUUACUGCAUAAAUAGAUAAUUUUGAAGAUACAGUUACAGUUUCAAACUUUUUCACUGGUAAAAUUCUAAGAAAUAACAUUUGUAACCCAUCAAGAUAAACGCUUGUUUUCAUAAAUGCUUCAGUGGACUCAUAUAUGGAACCAGUUCAGUUUAUUCUAAUAUCACGCUGUUAAAAUUGCAUAAAAAUGUUUGUCCACAACCCCUUUUUUUCCAGUUUCAUGAAUAACUUCUGUGUUUGCUAACGAGAUGUUAGAAAGUUCCUCAUGUGUUUGCAAGUAGAACUAACGCUGUUGUGUUGGAUUUUUUUGCUCUAAUGUCCUGUUUUCCUUCAACGGGCCAAAGGGAUUUCAUCUGUUUAUGUUUAAAUGUUUCAGUCGGACUUUUUAAAGAAUUGAUUGUGUAAUCAUAUUGUUUUAACAUGCAAAAAAAAAAAAAAAUGUUUUUAUUGCAUCUGUUUUUGACAGUUGUGUUUUUUUUUUCCCACUUUCUUUGAGAUGCUGUAAAAGUGGAUGAUUCAUAUCAACAUAAAAGGAGCUUUUAGUGCUGCCAUGGGUUGUUUUGUCAUUUUUACAUGUUCAGAAAUAAACCCUCAGUGGCAGCUUUAUGCGGUUUGACUUUCAAAAUAAGAGCAAGGAAGCAGUGGCUGCUGUGCUGAUUAUGAGCAUCUAAAGUUCAGAAAAAACAGAUCAAAUCUGACAAAUCAAUGAUAAAAAUUAAGAAAUAAUUAAAGGUUUCAACAGUUGAAGAAAAAUAAAUUUUCCCCAAAUCUUUGUGCUUCAAAAUACUUUUUUUGCGACAUGCUUUUGCUUAGUUUGUCCAGCAGAUGGCAAAGUAGUCCUCUGUUUAUGCCUCUAUUAUACUAAAUAGAACCAAAAAUAUUCAAUAUUCUAUGGCAUAAUAAAGUUGAACAUAUACAUUUCCUCUGAAUCUUCGAUAACCAUCCAAUAACUAAAUCGAUUUUUGCUAUCUUUACUUAUUUAUUUUAGAGAAGCAGUUAUUUGUAAUGAAGACACCCCAGCAUAUUAAGUGAUAAAACUGUGACUAAUGGCACAUCAAAACAACCCUUUUUCCUUCUUUAGUUUGAGUUGUUUCCACUGUGGCAGGCUCACAAAGUCAUCUUUGCUGAUCCCAAACACGUCAAUGAAGUCUCCAUCAGAGAGGUAUUUCUAAGAAAAAAAAGCAGGCCAUAAAGUUAAGUUUAAUUCAUUUUUCUCUUUGUGUUUUUAUGCAGGAGUUUAAGAUUAACUUUACCAAUUUGUUAAAUAAAAAUGAAUAA
rnacentral:lncRNA from 1 species